AUUGAACGCUGGCGGCAUGCCUUACACAUGCAAGUCGAACGGUAACGCGGGGCAACCUGGCGACGAGUGGCGAACGGGUGAGUAACGCAUCGGAACGUGCCCAAUAGUGGGGGAUAGCCCGGCGAAAGCCGGAUUAAUACCGCAUACGACCUAAGGGUGAAAGCGGGGGAUCGCAGGCCCUCGCGCUAUUGGAGCGGCCGAUGUCAGAUUAGGUAGUUGGUGGGGUAAAGGCCCACCAAGCCGACGAUCUGUAGCUGGUCUGAGAGGACGACCAGCCACACUGGGACUGAGACACGGCCCAGACUCCUACGGGAGGCAGCAGUGGGGAAUUUUGGACAAUGGGCGCAAGCCUGAUCCAGCCAUGCCGCGUGCGGGAAGAAGGCCUUCGGGUUGUAAACCGCUUUUGUCAGGGAAGAAAAGGCUCGAACUAAUACUUUGGGCUCAUGACGGUACCUGAAGAAUAAGCACCGGCUAACUACGUGCCAGCCGCCGCCGUAAUAC
rnacentral:rRNA from 1 species